UACGUAGGUGGCAAGCGUUAUCCGGAUUUAUUGGGCGUAAAGGGAACGCAGGCGGUCUUUUAAGUCUGAUGUGAAAGCCUUCGGCUUAACCGGAGUAGUGCAUUGAAAACUGGGAGACUUGAGUGCAGAAGAGGAGAGUGGAACUCCAUGUGUAGCGGUGAAAUGCGUAGAUAUAUGGAAGGACACCAGUGGCGAAAGCGGCUCUCUGGUCUGUAACUGACGCUGAGGUUCGAAAGCGUGGGUAGCAAACAGG
rnacentral:rRNA from 1 species